rnacentral:snRNA from 1 species
AAAUGAGUGUCUCAGGGGGGAUACCAGGAUCACAAAGGUGGUUUUCCCAGGGCGAGGCUUAUCCAUUGCACUCUGGAUGUGCUGACCCCUGCGAUUUCCCCAAAUGUGGGAAACUCGACUGCAUAAUUUGGGUAGUGGGGGACUGCGUUCACGAUUUCCUA